rnacentral:tRNA from 1 species
GCGAGUGGUGGCGCAGAGGUCGUCGCGCCGCCCCUGUCAGGGCGCAGGACGCCGGUUCAACUCCGGCACACUCGCC